UGGGGAAUAUUGCGCAAUGGGGGGAACCCUGACGCAGCCAUGCCGCGUGAAUGAAGAAGGCCUUCGGGUUGUAAAGUUCUUUCGGUAUUGAGGAAGGUUGAUGUGUUAAUAGUACAUCAAAUUGACGUUAAAUACAGAAGAAGCACCGGCUAACUCCGUGCCAGCAGCCGCGGUAAUACGGAGGGUGCGAGCGUUAAUCGGAAUAACUGGGCGUAAAGGGCACGCAGGCGGUUAUUUAAGUGAGGUGUGAAAGCCCCGGGCUUAACCUGGGAAUUGCAUUUCAGACUGGGUAACUAGAGUACUUUAGGGAGGGGUAGAAUUCCACGUGUAGCGGUGAAAUGCGUAGAGAUGUGGAGGAAUACCGAAGGCGAAGGCAGCCCCUUGGGAAUGUACUGACGCUCAUGUGCGAAAGCGUGGGGAGCAAACAGGAUUAGAUACCCUGGUAGCCCACGCUGUAAACGCUGUCGAUUUGGGGAUUGGGCUUUAAGCUUGGUGCCCGUAGCUAACGUGAUAAAUCGACCGCCUGGGGAGUACGGCCGCAAGGUUA
rnacentral:rRNA from 1 species